GACAGAGGAUGCAAGCGUUAUCCGGAAUGAUUGGGCGUAAAGCGUCCGCAGGUGGCUAUUCAAGUCUGCGGUCAAAGACUGGGGCUUAACCCUGGAAAGGCCGUGGAAACUGAAGAGCUAGAGUGCAGUAGGGGUAGAGGGAAUUCCCGGUGUAGCGGUGAAAUGCGUAGAGCUCGGGAAGAACAUCGGUGGCGAAAGCGCUCUGCUGGACUGCAACUGACACUCAGGGACGAAAGCUAGGGGAGCGAAUGGG
rnacentral:rRNA from 1 species